AACGAGACCUUAACCUGCUAACUAGCCCGUUUUGCUUUGGCAGUACGCUGGCUUCUUAGAGGGACUAUCGGCUCAAGCCGAUGGAAGUUGGAGGCAAUAACAGGGCUGUGAUGCCCUUAGAGGGGCGGGGCCGCACGCGCGCUACACUGACGGAGCCAGCGAGUACUCCCUUGGCCGAAAGGCCUGGGUAAUCUUGUGAAACUC
rnacentral:rRNA from 1 species